AUACGUAGGAUGCGAGCGUUGUCCGGAUUUACUGGGCGUAAAGGGCGAGUAGGCGGCCUGUUAAGUCUCAUGUGAAAUCUCCCGGCUUAACUGGGAGGGGUCAUGGAAUACUGCCAUGCUCGAGGGCAUUAGAGGAGAGCGGAAUUCCGGGAGUAGCGGUGAUAUGCGUAGAUACCCGGAGGAACACCCGUGGCGAAAGCGGCUCUCUGGGCUGUACCUGACGCUAAGGCACGAAAGCGUGGGGAGCAAACCGGAUUAGAAACCCCGGUAGUCC
rnacentral:rRNA from 1 species